UACGUAGGGUGCGAGCGUUACUCGGAAUUACUGGGCGUAAAGCGUGCGCAGGCGGCGCGUUAAGACAGGUGUGAAAGCCCCGAGCUUAACUUGGGAAUUGCGCUUGUGACUGGCGUGCUGGAGUGUGGCAGAGGGAGGUGGAAUUCCACGUGUAGCAGUGAAAUGCGUAGAGAUGUGGAGGAACACCGAUGGCGAAGGCAGCCUCCUGGGCCAGCACUGACGCUCAUGCACGAAAGCUAGGGGAGCAAACAGG
rnacentral:rRNA from 1 species